GACGAACGCUGGCGGCGUGCUUAACACAUGCAAGUCGAACGGAAAGGCCCUGCUUUUGUGGGGUGCUCGAGUGGCGAACGGGUGAGUAACACGUGAGUAACCUGCCCUUGACUUUGGGAUAACUUCAGGAAACUGGGGCUAAUACCGGAUAGGAGCUCCUGCUGCAUGGUGGGGGUUGGAAAGUUUCGGCGGUUGGGGAUGGACUCGCGGCUUAUCAGCUUGUUGGUGGGGUAGUGGCUUACCAAGGCUUUGACGGGUAGCCGGCCUGAGAGGGUGACCGGCCACAUGGGGAAUGAGAUAAGGCCCAGACUCCUACGGGGGGAAGCAGGGGGGAAUAUGGAACAAUGGGCGGAAGCCUGAUGCAGCAACGCCGCGUGCGGGAUGACGGCCUUCGGGUUGUAAACCGCUUUCGCCUGUGACGAAGCGUGAGUGACGGGAAUGGGUAAAGAAGCACCGGCUAACUACGU
rnacentral:rRNA from 1 species